rnacentral:rRNA from 1 species
UACGUAGGGUGCGAGCGUUGUCCGGAAUUACUGGGCGUAAAGAGCUCGUAGGCGGUUUGUCGCGUCGUCUGUGAAAACCAGCAGCUCAACUGCUGGCUUGCAGGCGAUACGGGCAGACUUGAGUACUGCAGGGGAGACUGGAAUUCCUGGUGUAGCGGUGAAAUGCGCAGAUAUCAGGAGGAACACCGGUGGCGAAGGCGGGUCUCUGGGCAGUAACUGACGCUGAGGAGCGAAAGCGUGGGUAGCGAACAGG